CCGCUCAGGCCCCGGGAGGCGGAGGUGAGCUGGGCGUUGGGGCCGCCCGCGCCGCAGCAGUUUCAGCUUCAAGCUCUGCUCCUGCUGUUACUAGUAAACAGACUUUCAGAGAGCCUGGGACAUGGCGUGCACAUAAAUGCUACCCAGAGAAGAGUGUGACAGUCAUCCUGUUGGACAAGUGCUUGAGACAGGAAAUGCAAUUCACCAUUGACUAAAUAGUGCAACUGAUUGUACUCAGACUUCUAUCAAAGGUAGAAAAACAAACUGAAAAAACAGAGCUCCUCUCACCACAGGAUCAGGCGCUGGAUGCAAGUAAAGCAUCAGGUAAAAUACCAGAGGAAAAACAAAUACCCAGUCAGAACAUCUCCGACUCAAAGCCUUCCAGGGCGGCCCAUCACCUUGGCCUCUACAAAACAGGACACACUGACCAGACUGU